rnacentral:rRNA from 1 species
AUGAACGCUGGCGGCGUGCCUAAUCCAUGCAAGUCGAGCGAACGGACGAGAAGCUUGCUUCUCUGAUGUUAGCGGCGGACGGGUGAGUAACACGUGGAUAACCUACCUAUAAGACUGGGAUAACUUCGGGAAACCGGAGCUAAUACCGGAUAAUAUUUUGAACCGCAUGGUUCAAAAGUGAAAGACGGUCUUGCUGUUACUUAUAGAUGGAUCCGCGCUGCAUUAGCUAGUUGGUAAGGUAACGGCUUACCAAGGCAACGAUGCAUAGCCGACCUGAGAGGGUGAUCGGCCACACUGGAACUGAGACACGGUCCAGACUCCUACGGGAGGCAGCAGUAGGGAAUCUUCCGCAAUGGGCGAAAGCCUGACGGAGCAACGCCGCGUGAGUGAUGAAGGUCUUCGGAUCGUAAAACUCUGUUAUUAGGGAAGAACAUAUGUGUAAGUAACUGUGCACAUCUUGACGGUACCUAAUCAGAAAGCCACGGCUAACUACGUG